CGCCGCCCCUGAAGGCCGAGCAGGAGGAAGAAGGGCUCCCGCUGCCCCUCGCAAACAUUAAGGAAGAGCCGCCCUCUCCGGGGACCCCACCCCAGUCCCCGCCGGCUCCCCCUGUCUUCCUCAGCGCCUCCUGUUUCGACAGCCAAGACCACUCAGCCUUCGAGAUGGAGGAGGAAGAGGCAGGACGACUUGGAAAAAAAGGCGGCGGACAGUUGGCCAGAGGGAUGGAGACUGGUGGGGACGCCCCCGCCUCCCUGUCCCCCGUUUCACACACUGGACACCAUCACCUCUUUGGAACUGCCAGACCCUGGGGGUCCCCAGUGAGCAAAGGAAGGACACAGAUGCAUCAGAAAAUAUGUGGCCCUCAACCAAGCAAGAAGCCGGUGAAGGCUGGGUUGAGAAGAAACAGGAAUGUGAGAAGAUAGAUCAUCGUCACCGCUGCCCUGUGGAAGCUCCGCGCGAUUAUCCUCACCACUGCCCUGUGGAAGCUCCGCGCCUUACUCAGUCAAUCUCUACCACACCCUUACUCUGUGUCAGCGGUGGUACUAGGCACUGAGGAGGAGUCCAAUACCUUCCUCUGAAAGAGCUGGAAUUCUAGCCCUGCAUUGUCCAACAUAACUUUUUUUUUUUCUCAGAAAAGUUUCCAUAAUCUUUCUUCCCUCACUCUGUUGCC
rnacentral:lncRNA from 1 species